CCUACGGGGUGCUGCAGUGAGGAAUAUUGGUCAAUGGACGAGAGUCUGAACCAGCCAAGUAGCGUGAAGGAUGACUGCCCUAUGGGUUGUAAACUUCUUUUAUAUGGGAAUAAAAUGUUCCACGUGUGGGAUUUUGUAUGUACCAUAUGAAUAAGGAUCGGCUAACUCCGUGCCAGCAGCCGCGGUAAUACGGAGGAUCCGAGCGUUAUCCGGAUUUAUUGGGUUUAAAGGGAGCGUAGGUGGAUUUUUAAGUCAGUUGUGAAAGUUUGCGGCUCAACCGUAAAAUUGCAGUUGAAACUGGCAGUCUUGAGUACAGUAGAGGUGGGCGGAAUUCGUGGUGUAGCGGUGAAAUGCUUAGAUAUCACGAAGAACUCCGAUUGCGAAGGCAGUUCACUGGACUGCAACUGACACUGAGGCUCGAAAGUGUGGGUAUCAAACAGGAUUAGAUACCCCAGUAGUC
rnacentral:rRNA from 1 species